CAAGUAACCAAUGGAAAUUUCAGAGGAAAUUUAAACCCCAGAAAAUUCUGUAACUGGGCUCUUGAGCCACUUGCUGGGGCCUGCUGCCGCCCUGUGGAGUGUGCUUUCGUUUUCAAUAAAUCUCUGCUUUCGUUCCUUCAUGCUUUCCUUGCUUUGUGUGUUCAUUUUGUCCAAAUCUUUGUUCAAGACGCCAAGAACCUGGACACCCUCCACCGGUAACAUAUUUUGGCGAGCCAGACAAGAGGUAAAGAAAGCUUUUUAUGGUUCACUAAGGACAAUCAACCCCUUCGCAAUCUAGAACCAAAAGACUGGAUCUUCUGAGAACAUCUACUUAGUAUGAUGCCUCUGGCUUCCCUCUAUCACACGUCUUCUUUUCGAGUAAAGGUUUUUCAUAAAUGUGAGCGUGGAAGAAGAAACCAGUUAAAUAUGGAACUUCACACCAGGACACAAAAGAUGGUGUCAGAAGCGGAUCCGAAGUGGAACUUUUAGUGACCCUCAGGAGCACUGAAUGAACAUGCAAGGAACCUGCAGGACCCACUUGUGUCCAUUGAUCUCUGGGAGCAGCUGGGAUAAGCUCCUUUUCGGAUUUCAGAGCUCCAUGGACUUGUGUCUUGAGAUCCCUGAGUUUCUUUGAGCAAAUUUCUGAUCCAAAAUGGGUUUGGCAUCAUGGCAGAAACAGGACUGGGUCCACGAAUGGAUUUGAUCCAGGAAUGAACUGGCUUGGAUCCAGUCAGAGGUCUCUUACAUCUGACUGGGUCAGAAAGGAACUGGUAGUAAGCAGUAAUAUUGCAGAGGAUGGUGUGGCAAGCUGAGUCACUAAGGCUGCUCAGGGAAAGGGAACCCAGAAUCUUGGCAUGCCGGCAAAAGGCCCAUGGUUCACUGAGGACAACUCCUUUGCAAUCUAGAACCCAAAGAUUGGAUCUUCUGAGAACAUCAGAGAAAGACUGUCCUUGCCAUCCACACUACAGCAAAGCUUUGGAGCCUUGAACCUUGGGUUCAUGAUCUUACAACUGAGAAGGGCCCCUCCACACUCCUGAACUGUACAACCAUUGAAACUCUUAAGGUAAAAUUAACUAGGAAAGUUUAUCUCCUUAAGAAGAUGGCAUCCUUGAUGUGAACAGCUUUUCCCAAGAUCCUGGAUCAAAACGUCUACUAUCACGAGACUCUUAUAUUUGAAUAUAUUUUCCGGUUUAUGCCUUUAGGAACAAUUGAAAUGAAAGGGGGAUCUAUUAUGUGCACUUAUAGGGUAUACUUUUAUUUGUGAAGGAUUUUGCAUCCAGCCUUAUAUGAAUAACCUUGUACUUUAAUAGAUAAAAGAUGAAGGCUCAAUGUAGGUGAGAAAAUGUAGUGGUACAUAUGUUGCCUCAUAAUCAGUCAAAACUCUUCUUAACCCACAUAAUGGAUUAAAGAGAAUAUUGCCAGGAGGCCUUCGCUUUUCUAAAAUGACAUCAUUUGUUAGGUCCUUUUUCCAUAGUUUAGUAUAAAAGAGGCAAUAAUUAGAAAUGUCACCCUCAUAAUAGGCUCUACAGCAAAUUCUACUUUAAAGGCUAUUGUUACACAACAGACUUUAAAUUAUCUUGUAAAAGUUAUGCUAAAUAAUAGAAUUGGCCAAACAGAAAAGUACCUGUGCAGUUGCUGACACCUGUGGCCUAUGGAGAAAUACAUCAAAUGUAGAUUAUACAAUUUCAGUUGUAGGGGAUUAAUGAAAAGACCACCUAGUCAAGCAAGUAGGCUCUUCAUAUAGCUCAUUCUUUAAUCUAUUUAAUUUUACAUGGUUUGGUUUAUGGGGACCCUGGGUAAGGAGCACACUCCAAAUUUGUUAUUAUUCUCCCAGUACUCAUAAUGAUAGUCUCCCUGAUGUGCUAUAUUCUCUUAAAGGUUUUAAAUGUUUGCAUGCAGCCAUCUCUAGAACAUCAAAUGGUCUCUAUUCAACCAGAAUGACAAAAGCUGAAAGAAAUGUGUGACCCUGAGGAUAUCGUAACCUACGAAUGAUGUGCUGAGACUGGAAACCCUAAAUGAUGUUACUGAGAAUGGCACUAAGGCCUUAAGUUUUGGUCACACUGUCACCUAAGUGAGAACCUGGCUGAAAAGGGAGAAUUUUUAAACAACAAAAUUAGAGGAAGCCACUAUUUUGGACUGAGCUCAUGCACUAGGCCCCAACAAACGAAACCAAGCUAAAAUGGAGUCACUCAUCCUAAAUGUGACAUAAUCAAACCAAGGCUUUAAGAACACAGAUAGAUGCUAGAACAGACUACAUUUUGUUUUUCUCCUGUAAACAGGAUGUCUAUCAUAAGGAGGUACCGUCUACUCAGUCCUUAUUCUCUCCUUGCAAAACCCACUUUUCUACUGUUUCCCAGUGGGUUUCAAACCAUAUAAUACAUUUAUGAUAGUGAUAUUAACAUCAAUGACUAAGGUUUUGGUCAAUCUCUCAAAAUUGAGAAAAUGACCAAAAGAGGGAAAUGAUUGCUAAAGCAAACUAAAUAUGGCCUGGGAAGAACUCCAUAGUCUUAUAUUUGAGUUCUUGCAGAUGAACUGUAACUUAGCUUAAUAGUCAGACAAAACUGAAAACCUAACUUAAUAGUAUGCGUCUGUAACAAUGGCUGAGUGUUCGCUAAUCCCAGCGGCCAUACUUCAACCACUCAUAGACUGCUGAAAGUUCAAAGUGCAUUCAAAUAAGGCAAAAACGGAGCUUAACCAGCCUCACUGUUUCUGUAUCUCACUUCCGAUUCCUGUAUGUCACUUUACCUUUUUUGUCUAUAAAUGUGUUCUGACCACGAGGCACCCCAGGUCUCUGUGAAUCUGUUGUAAUUCUGGAGGUGCCUGAUUCGCCAAUCAUUCAUUGCUCAAUUAAACUCCUUUAAAUUUAACUCAGCUGGACUUUUCCUUUUAUCAGGUUGAAUUUUACAUAUCUACUUUAGAUUUUAAUUUCUUCUAUAAAUUAAAAUCUAAUCUUCCAUAAUUUCUGAUAAAAUGUUUGUUAAAUGAACUCAAUGCAUUGGACAAAAAUUUCCUGUUGCUUUUCUUUCAAAGUACAUAAAUUGAUGCUACUUUUUCCACCUUUCUCACAUUUUCUCUGUCCCAAUCUUACACUGGAGGUUCAAUAGUCUUCUUCAUGCCUCAAGUUCUUUCUCUUGUAAUAUGAAAGGCAUGUGGCCACUUUCCUUUUCUAAUUCUUUCAUAAAUCUAAACAUUUUCACUACCUAUUGGUUACUAUGCUCACCAUCUGGGUGAAGGCAUCAUUUGUACACAAAAUCUAUAAAAUAUACUAUUUACUUAUGUAAAAAACCUAAACAUGUACCUGCUGAACCUAAAAUAAAAGUUGAAAAAGAAAAAUAAAUAAAUAAUACCUUCCCAGAAUAUUGCCUAUAGGAACAAGUCUAAAUUCCUUAAUACAGAGUAAAAUGGUAAUAAAAUUCUUGCCCUGAUUUUCUUUCUUAGGCCUAUGUCAUUUCAACACUCCCCAUCACCAUUCUUCCCCAAUCUCUUCCAUUUUUUGAGUCUAAAAUCCUUAAUACAUUGAAUUUUUGUUCAAUAUUUGUUAUAUGCCCAAAACUAUGCUAAGCUGCUGGACUCGUGCUCUUUCACAAUUCCUUUUCUGUUCCUUUCAGACUAGUGAAAUGAUACUGAUUUUUAAUGAUCUGUCUUUUCUUGGAAAUUUCCUAUUUCCAAAUGUCAAAAAAAGAACUUAUAAUUUUUGUCUCUCCAUUUCCAUAACACUUAUCAAUGUCACUGACAUAGCCCUAAUAAUUAUGAGAUGUACAUUGUUAGUUACACACAUUUCUUGUUUUCCUACUUUUGAUGUCUUUAAGGUCAGAGAUUGUAUUUUACUCGUUUGUAUUCCUAUCAGAAAAAAAACUGUGGCUUACAUGUAAUAUACAUUCAGUAAUUGUUUGAAUGAAAAAUGUAUUAAAAUAGUAUGAGUAUCCAAGUUGGUGAUUCAAUUUAGUUAAUCUCUUCUGAUACCCCUACCCCAAAAAGGCAUAUGUAAAAGUGCAUAAAAUUGUGUGUAUGAAUAUGUAGAUCAAUAGAUAGAAGCAUCUGUGAACACAAAUAAGAAAUUUAGGAAAUGAUUAUCUUAGAAACUCUUUAGCAUCAAAUCUUAUUUAUUUAUUUAUUUAUUUGCUAUAGCUUUUGGGGAAAAGUUGGAUUUUUGUUACAUGGAUAAGUUCUCUUGUAGUAAUUCCUGAGAUUUUGGUGCACACUGUACCCAAUCUGUAUUCUUUAUUCCUCACCCCUCUCCCCGCAUUCCCCUUGAGUCUCUGAAGUCCCUUAUAUCAUUCUUACGCCUUUGCAGCCUCAUAACUUAGCUCCCACUUAUAAGUGAGAUCAUACAAAAUUUGGUUUUCCAUUCCUGAGUUACUUCACUUAGAAUAACUGUUUCCAGCUCCAUCCAGGUUGCUGAAAAUGCCAUUAUUUCAUUCAUUUUUAUGGCUGAGUAGUAUUCCAUGGUGUAUAUAUGCCACCUUUUCUUUAUUUACUCUUUGGCCAGUGGACAUUUAGGCUGAUUUCAUAUUUUUGCAAUUGUGAAUUUUGCUACUAUACACAUGUAUGUGCAAGUGUAUUUUUCAUACAAUGACUUCUUUUCCUCUGGGUAGAGACCCAGUAGUGCGAUUGCUGGAUGAAAUGCUAGUUCUACUUCUAGUUAUUUAAGGAAUCUCCAUACUGUUUUCCAUAUGGGUGGUACUAGUUUACAUUCCCAACAGCAGUAUAAAAGUGUUCCCUUUUCACCAUAUUCACGCUAAUAUUUAUUAUUUUUUAUUUUUAAUUAUGGUCAUUCUUGGAUCUCAUUGUAUUUUCAAUUUGCAUUUCCCUGGUAAUUAGAGAUGUUGAGCAUAUUUUCAUGUUUGUUGGCCAUUUGGAUAACUUUUUCUGAGAAUUGUCUGUUCAUGUCCUUUGCCCACUUUUUAAGUUUAAUUUAAUACUAAUCCUACUAUUAUAUAUAUAUAUAUAAG
rnacentral:lncRNA from 10 species